rnacentral:rRNA from 1 species
GACGAACGCUGGCGGCGUGCUUAACACAUGCAAGUCGAACGGUGAAAGCGGAGCUUGCUCCGCUGGAUCAGUGGCGAACGGGUGAGUAACACGUGGGCAACCUGCCCCUCACUUCGGGAUAACUCCGGGAAACCGGGGCUAAUACCGGAUAUGACCUCCUUGGGCAUCCUUGGAGGUGGAAAGUUUUUCGGUGAGGGAUGGGCCCGCGGCCUAUCAGCUUGUUGGUGAGGUAGUGGCUCACCAAGGCGACGACGGGUAGCCGGCCUGAGAGGGCGACCGGCCACACUGGGACGGAGACACGGUCCAGACUCCUACGGGAGGCAGCAGUGGGGAAUAUUGCGCAAUGGGCGAAAGCCUGACGCAGCAACGCCGCGUGCGGGAUGACGGCCUUCGGGUUGUAAACCGCUUUCAGCAGGGAAGAAGCCGCAAGGUGACGGUACCUGCAGAAGAAGCACCGGCUAACUACGUGCCAGCCGCCGCCGUAA